GGCUCCAGAAUAUAUAAAAGGAAAGACCAAGAUGUGGGAUGUUGGACAAGAUUCUUUCGACACAUCCGAUGGUGUUGGUCUUCUUGAAAUUGCAAAUCUUUCACUUGAUGAGCCAAAUUUGGAGAAUGUGGUAUUUAUUGAUGAUUCCAAUGAGAAUGAAACUAAACCAAAAUGAAGUCUUUUGAUGAAAACCCUGUCCUUUUCUUUUUGUUGUUUUGAAUGUGGACUAUACAUGUAAGUCGUAAGAUGAAUAUCAUGAUGUUUUGUGGUCUGGUGAAUGACUGAAUGGAAAUACUAUAUUUGUUUUGCUUUUACUCAUUUGUUUAUUUUAGAUAUUUCAAUAUGUCAUGACAUAUUAUCAACAUAAAUUUAUUUAUACAUAUUAAAAUAAUAUGUUAUUUAGAUACCCCUGACGUAUCGUAUCCUAGAGUUUGGGACAAUGCCGUAUCGCCCGUAUCGUGUCGUAACCAUAUCCCCGUAUUCGUAUUCGUGCAACACAGGUUGAGAUGUUGCGUUUUCCUAUUGUAGUGGUUUAGUGAUUCUGGAUUAUGGUUUUGGAUUAUUAGCUGUACGGUUGUUUUGACUGCUUGUGGUUAUGUAUCUGUGCUCCUCUGCCGUGCAUGUACAAGAGAGACUCUGUCUACAUGGACAGAGGAUGCCCUGUGCGUGUAGCGGGUCUGUACAUGUUUCGGGCAAGAUUUCAAAUAAGGUUUAGAGGGGUAUUAAAUUCUCAAUUAAAUAAGGUUUAUGAUUACGAAUGGAUUAAAGCUCGGACAUUUUGCUCAUAUAUAGCCUAAGAGGGCCUACUCCACCUCUUUAACUCUUCCUCUUUCUUUCUCUCUCUUCCGCCCCCCCCCGCCCCCACCCCUCUAAAAAAAAUGAAAGAAAAAGAGAGCAACAGGGUGAACUUAGGGAAUAGAGAUUGCCGGUGAAGUUCACAGGGUGAAGCCUAUAUCUCCCUCAUUUCAUUAAGGCAAAAUAGGUAGUGAUCAUGGAGGGAAAAUGAUGAUUUGCAACCGAUCUCACAACAAAGCCUGGAGCAACUAUCCAUGGGAGGUCGUUUUGUGGGCAAAAAGGGAGAACCAGUACCAACAAAAUUGUAGUGCACUUAACUUUUGCAAAUUGCGAGUUCUAGUGAGAGAAUAGUGCUUAAUACUAUUCUGAAGGUUUGGACUGAGUUUAGUGAGCUUAGGAGUGUCUUCGAGGCUUAAUAAGCGCGAAAACGGACUCCGUAGAUCAAAUUCGGCAAAAAUUGCAUGGUUUGAGUUGAGUACCAAUACUAGACUUGAGGUAUCGGAACUCUAUAGAGUGCCAAAUUGGGCAACUCUCGGGUUCUACAAAACUCAGCUCUGGAUACCGGUACUAGGCUGAGUACCGGUACUACAUUGGGCGGAUACAUGAACGCAAUGAAAAAUCAGAAAUACCAACGUUCGGGUUUUGCGGUACUGGACCCCUUGUAUCGGAACAGACUAUGGAGUACCGGUACUCCAAAUCAUGUAUCAGUACUCAAUGUUGCAGAACCUGUUUCGUACUAAAUGCAAUUACUGAGUUUUGGAGGGGCUUUUGGGGUAUUGUUUCAACUAGUAUAACAUACCCUAUACUCCCUCAUUCUCUUUUGUUGGUUGAGAAUGGAGAGGGAGUAGAGGUGAGCUUCUCUCCCUUUUUCUCUUGGAUUUCUUCCUCUAAACCUCUAAUCUUUGGGUUUAAUCUCUUUUUCUUCCUCUCCUCUUUGGAUGCAAGAACUUUGAUCUUGGAGGGGAGCUCGAUGAUGUAAAGAGAAGCUUGUUGGAGGAUCAAACUUCACACUAGCAUCUCAUGGCUUGGUUUGAAGCUUAAUUUGAAGUUAGUAACUUUCUUGUACUCUCUAUUUAGGAGAUUACAAGAAAUUUUGGUGAAAAACCUAGUUUUGUAGAAACUAGGAUUGGUUUUGGAGCUUUUCUUUUAAAAGUUUUUUGGAUGGAAUUGAUGAGUGUAGAACACUCUUUUAGAUCGGAUUUGAACAUGCUUCACUUUGGUUUGAACCUUGGACAAGAUUUUCUUAUGUUAAGGUAAUUUUUAUCUAAUUUUUACUUGAUUUUAGGUAAAUUUCAUGGGAAGCUUUUUAGAAGCUUGUAACCCCUUUGAAAUUUUUCUUAGAGUGCUAGAAGUCUAGAGGGCAACUUCAUUUGGAGAAACGAACAAGUUUCGAAGGAUAUCCGAUAGGUUUGAUCUCACCAAAAUGGGUGAACUUCCUCUAUGUCUCCUAUAUUGUUAUAGGAUUUGUUAAUGCAUAUUUAUGCUAUUCUUGACAUGCUAGAAUUUUUGGAUACAUGAUGCAUAUAUGUUAUAUAUGAAAUUGGAAAUAGUCUACGUAGUAGAGGGUUAUGAUGAUAACAUGCAUAUUAUAUCAUAUGUAAUAUCAAGUUCCUCUUAUGCAAACAUAGGCAUGCAUGUUAGAUGCAAAAAUUGCAUGGCAAUUUUUAGAUGAAUAGUAAUAUCAUAUAAGAUGAAUAGUAAUAUCACAUGAGACACUAUAUGGUUAAUGGAAUUAUUAGAUUCAAAAAUUGCAUGGCAAUCAAUAUACUUGCUAUAGAUGAAAGUAAACAUGACAUAUGGCAUGUAAUGACAAAAUGUAGAACUAAGUAUGUUUCACUUAGUUUAGAUGAGAUGAAUAACUAAAGUGGACAUUAUGACAUUGUACCCAACCUUUAGGUCGUUAGAUGUAAUUCCAUGUUUUAGACAUGACGAAAGAGUUUUCUACGCAUUUGAAUAUAUAUAUAUGGCAAAGGUAUAAUUGUUUAGUUAAAUGAGGGGUAAUUGUUUGCAUGAUGAAUCUCAUACUCCAUGUAGUGGAGGUUCAUGUAGUAAGGCGUAUGCAUGAUAUGAUCUUGUGGACAUCCUCAUAAUUCUAUGAAUAUGCCAUUAGUAAGUUGUUUCCUUCGUGCUAUAGUGGAAAUAGUAGAUGUUGUCACCCGUUAGGGUCAUAAUGAGAUGUAAACCUAUACAUACUUGAGACAUGUUGCAUAUCGGUAGAAACAUACCAUCGAAUUUAUUGAAGAUGAAACAUGACAUUUAUGUUAUAGUAUCCGACCUUGAGCCGAUGAUUGAGAUUCCAUAUUUUAGACAUAAUGAUUGAGAUAUGUGGCCUUUGGACAUGAUGCUUAUGAUCACGCUUGCUUGCCUUUGUGCUCAUUCGCACAAGCUUGUGAGGGUCGCUCCCUACAAGCCGGCACUCCGCAUUUAGCCUUUGCGACAACAUGCUUGCCCGUGCAAGAUUGGGCGCCGAAGUGAAUUGCCGUGGGAAAGGCUCAUUCCUAGAGGGGGAAUAUUGACUACCACGGGGCCAUUAGGCACGACACAAGCCAGAACGUCACCAUGUGUAAGCCCCUCGUUAAUUGGGUAAAGUUAAGAAAACUUAACAUCGUACAUCACAAUUAGUUGAUGCAUAUAAAGUAAGUGGACAUACUAAUGGGCUAUUACUUUGUAACCCUACUUGAUGCAUUCAUAGAAGUUGGACAUUCAUGUUAGUCAUUGUUGGUAUUGACAACCUUAGUGGUAGUAAAUCUAUACACAUGUUGGUUAGUAUAGAUGUAUAACUAUAUGACGAUAAUGAAAGGAAAAUACUUGUCCAUGUAAACUUGCAUGUAAGCUUGCAUAUACAAAUACUUGCGCAUGUGACAGUAGAAAAUCAUAUACAUGUUAGAUUGUUAGUUGACAUUAUCAUGUAGAGGCAUGACUAUAAUUGAAUCUGACCAAUUAAUUGUCACUUUAUGCUUAAUACUUCUUGUAUUUUUAUCAUGCCUUAGUUGACCUAGUGGUGUAUUUUGCCUCUCGGCGGCUUAUCCACCGGGAACUAUUGUUUAAUAAUUCUCACCUCCAUUGGUUGUUUGUUUUUAUUUCAGAACCUUCCACGACGGGAGACGCUAGGGAUCGUGGCAAGGGGUUCGCGACUAGCUAGAACUUCUUCGGUGUUGUUAUAAAGGGACCCAUCGACAUUUUUCAUUUAGUCUAGUUUGAAGAUGUACAAUUAUAUCUUUUAUUCCUUGUUGUAUAAUUUUGUAAGGUAUUUGUAUUAAGCUCUUUAUGUAGUUCACUCGUGCUUGUUUUUGUAGAAGGUUUUUGUACUCGCUCUGAUCGCCAUGUUUAGAAUUCGUUCCUACUUCUUUCUUAUGUUGUUGUUGUUGUAGAAGCCUUGUGUGCAUCGGGAGUGCUUGGUGUACACAACGAGUCUGUGCACGCACCGGGUGGGCUUCCGCUGGAGCCCGGGGCGUGACAAAAAUCACCUUCGGGUGCGCACACAGCGACCCGAACAAGUUCAUUGCCACACCCCUAGUGCACCAGUCAAUCAGAGCCACUGCAUAUUGCUGCACUAACGCCACACAUUGGAGCUACUGCCUUACUACUAGGGGUGUCAACGAGCCGAACACGAGCGAGCUGGCGAACACGAGUUGGGUCGUUAAAGUAUCGAGCCGAAAAAUUCAGUUCGUAUUCAAGCUGGCUCACGGGUUAGAUUGGAUAUAUAUAAAAAAUAAAUUUAUAAAAUCUUACCCAUUAGACUUUGAUCUAAUAGUUGAAACUUUACAUAUAAAUAGGUAUUUUUAUAAUUGAGCUCAUCUUUAUAUUUUAUUUUGCUAAAAAUCAAAUAAUAAAAAAAUAUAUUAUAUAUAAUUAUUUAUUUAUAUAUAAAUAUGAAUAUAUAUAUAUAUAUAUAUAAAUUAAAUAAAUUAUAUAAAUAUAAAUAUAUGUAUUCGAGUUGUUAUCGAGCCGAACACAAGCGAGCUGACCUCAGCUCGUGUUCGGCUCAUUUAUUAAACGAGCUGAAAAAUUCAGCUCGCGUUCGGCUCAUUUACUGAACGAGUGAUUCGAUCUCAAAGCUCAUAUCGAGCCGAACACGAGCUAGCUCGCAAACGGGGAGCUGGAUUGCCACGCCUGCUUACUGCUGCAUAAGGUACACCACCAUUGAUGCAUGGUUGGUGCUACACCACCUCUGAUAGCAACUAGGCUGCACCAAGGAGCUUGACCAACUAUUGCCUCCACUUUUAUAAACAAAAAUUUUUCUUUAUAAAGUAUUUUCUCAUUAUAAAGAAAUUUUGCAUGCUUCUAUGAUUAAUAUACGCAAAAUUUUCUUAUUAUAAAGAAUGUCCUGUUUGUAAGUAUGCCUCUUUGGUGUCAUUAGAUUUUUUUUCAAUUUAAAAUUUGUCUUCUUUUUUCUUGUUCUUUUUUAUUUUGGGCAUUCGUUUACAUGCUUUUGUGGGAAAAGAUUUUCUAUAACAACAGAUUCAACAAUCUGCUUUUUGUAUAAAACUUGUCAUGUUUAUUUUUCAAAACUAUUUUUUCUUGCUAAUAUUUUUAUGGAUAAAGAUAAUAUAAAAAAAUAUCUGAAGGGCAAUUUUAUAUUAACUUUCAUUUUAACUUUUAAUUUUCUCUAGCUUAUUCUUUUGUUCUAUUUUUUAAGCUUUUAUGAAUAAAAAUUUGGCCAAUUUGCAUAAAAAAUCCACUUAUUUUGGGGUUUUGCAAAAUCGGGCCACCUUUUUCCUUUUUGCAGAUUCGGUCCGCUUUUUCCGCCGCCUGACCAAAAUGCCCCUCCUAUACAAUAGCCUCCCGCGUAUUUCUUGACAUACGUAUACUGCCCUGCCGUACGGUCUGGCGCGCAUUAAUUGACCGCUUAUUUCUCGGAACCCGGACAACAUCCGACCCCGCUAUUCGCCGGUCCCGCUGUUUCCUGUUCUGCUUAAGACUUUACGAAAUUUUCGAACGCUAUUGACAAAAAGUGCGCGCUCCGCAACAGGGAUAAUAGUGCAAUGUGAAGUCUACGAAAUGAGAAAUGGUGCAACUGACCUCUAUAACAGUGCAUCCUAGCCUCGUUCCAGUGCAAACAAACCAUAAUCAGUCAAAAUUUANAAGCUUAUUUAAAUAACAUAAUUAAAUUUAAAUAGCAUAACAUAAAAAGGUAAGCUUUUCGUUUGCUGGGAAGUCAUUACUAAACUAAUGGUUCCCGCCUGAAGGGGUGAUUGAAGCUAGACUAUAAAAAUUCGAAAUUCUGUAUACAUGGACCCCCCUUUUUUCACCUUCUUUUCAACUGCCAGUGCCAGAUCUUAUGAAUUCGGGUCAAUUGAAUCUCAACUGUUCCAAUUUUGUCUCUUGAAGAAGUAAAUGAGUUAUAUUGAGUUCUAUUCUAUUAGAAUAGAAAUAUGUUAGAAUAGAAAUAUUUUAAAUAUUUAAAAUUGUUAAAUGUAAUUUAAUAUUGUUUAAUGUAUAUAUAUAUAUAUAUAUAUAUAUAUGAUAUGUUAUCAUAUGUGUUUUUUGAGAAUGCUCAUUGAAUAAGCAAUUCAAUAACAAAUUUCGGAUCUAAUCAAUAUUGAUAUACCAAGUAUCUUAUCUGUUGAUACGAAAUAUUCUGGUGAUCCCCACGCCGGUUU
rnacentral:lncRNA from 1 species